rnacentral:tRNA from 1 species
GCCGAAGUGGUGAAAUUGGNNAGACACGCUACCUUGAGGGGGUAGUGGGCUAAUGCCCGUGGAGGUUCGAGUCCUCUCUUCGGCACCA